rnacentral:rRNA from 1 species
CCUACGGUGGGCAGCAGUGAGGAAUAUUGGUCAAUGGGCGCGCGCCUGAACCAGCCAAGUCGCGUGAGGGAAGACGGUCCUCUGUAUUGUAAUCCUCUUUUGUCGGGGCGCAACAGACGCCACGCGUGGCGUUACGAGAGUACCCGAAGAAAAAGCAUCGGCUAACUCCGUGUCAGCAGCCGCGGUAAUACGGAGGAUGCGAGCGUUAACAGGAUUUGUCGGGUUAAAGGGGUGCGCAGGCGGAAGAUCAAGUCAGCGGUAAAAUGGAGAGUCGAAACCUCUUCGAGCCGUUGAAACUGGUGUUCUGGAGUGAGCGAGAAGAAUGCGGAAUGCGUGGUGUAGCGGUGAAAUGCAUAGAUAUCACGCAGAACUCCGAUUGCGAAGGCAGCAUACCGGCGCUCAACUGACGCUCAUGCACGAAAGUGUGGGUAUCGAACAGGAUUAGAUACCCGAGGAGUC